UACGUAGGGUCCGAGCGUUGUCCGGAAUUAUUGGGCGUAAAGAGCUCGUAGGCGGUUUGUCGCGUCUGCUGUGAAAUCCCGAGGCUCAACCUCGGGCCUGCAGUGGGUACGGGCAGACUUGAGUGGUGUAGGGGAGACUGGAAUUCCUGGUGUAGCGGUGGAGUGCGCAGAUAUCAGGAGGAACACCGAUGGCGAAGGCAGGUCUCUGGGCACUUACUGACGCUGAGGAGCGAAAGCGUGGGGAGCGAACAGG
rnacentral:rRNA from 1 species